rnacentral:lncRNA from 1 species
UCGCCUCCGCUUCAGUCUCGUGGCUUCUGGAGUCUUCUAGAUGUAAGAUAAUUGCGCGGCACGUUAAUAUCUUUAUGUCAUCCCGACGUGUGGGUCUUUCUUCCAUAUUUCCUGAUAACCCCCUACAGAAAUAGACAAACACCAAAACUCAUGGAAUUCUAUCACAUAAAACCCUAAGUCUAGAUGUUGAUUUCAUUUGGAUCCUUUUCUUUCUUUAUUUGAUAAUUAAAUUUGAUACUUAAGGACCGUCAACAAGCAUGAACCUAAAACUAAAGUCUAGGUAAGAGAAAGGCAUGAUAUAAAGUUUGAGCUACUGUUUAUAUUGUUCCUACUAUACUAAGUUCUAGAGAUUUAUUUUAAAAGAAAACUCGCAAAUCACAUGAAGAGAUCCUAGCAUUGCAAACUUCCUAUCACAGCCAUACUUAUAAUAUCUUUUCCUACUUAUUCACAUUGGGUUUGAUGGAGCUGUGUAGACCCUUAGGAGCUUUUCAUGUGGUUAAAUUAAGAUAUUCACUUGCACACAUCCACUACACCAUUCACCACCAUACAUUAAAAUUGCUAAAAGUAUUAUUAUCACUCACUGUCCCAAGUAUUGUUAUUCUCUCUCUCUAAAAAGAUUCAAUGCAGAAGAGGCAUGGGUUAUGCAAAAAUACACGAAUAAAUAAAAAGGGGCAAGUGCCUGGAACCUCGAAAAAGAAAGAAAAAGAGUGAGACGAGAGGUAAAAAUGGACAAGUGUCCGGAGUAGAAUUAGGGGUACAAAGUUGCCCACUUGAGUGGAAAAAAUGGACAAGUGUUCGACAGUAGAACUAGGGGUGUCUACUACCCACCUAAAAAAAGAGAAAAGAAAAAGAUAGCCCAUGUUCUUCCAAAGCAAAGAUCAAAGAAGAGGAGAGAUAGCAAUACGAGGAGCAAUGAGAAGUAAGUUUUAUCAUCACUUAUACAUUUUUACCAUCACUAUCAUUUACUCCACCACACAUGCACAUCUUGAUUUAAUUAUAUGCUGAGUUCCUUUGGAUCCAUGGCUCGAUUAGACAACAUAUGUAUGAGCUGUUUUUCACUCCUAUGAGCUCCACUUAAAUAUUCCAUUAGCUAUAGGUAAGUGACAUUUUGGUAAGGAUCCACAAAUACCACAUAUAGAGAAACUUGAG